AGUAUCAUUAAGUGAAUACAUAGCUUAAUGAGGGGAACUCAGGGAACUGAAACAUCUAAGUACCUGAAGGAAGAGAAAGAAAUUCGAUUCCGUAAGUAGCGGCGAGCGAACGCGGAUUAGCCCAAACCAAUAAAGUUUUCUUUAUUGGGGUUGCGGACAUAUCAUAACGAAGAGGUAUCGUAAUUGAAGAGGUUUGGAAAGACCCACCACAGAAGGUAAUAGUCCUGUAUGUUAAACGAGAAGACUUUAGAUAUGAUCCAGAGUACCACGGGACACGUGAAACCCUGUGGGAAGCAGGAGGGACCACCCUCCAAGGCUAAAUACUACCUAGUGACCGAUAGCGUAUAGUACCGUGAGGGAAAGGUGAAAAGAACCCCGGGAGGGGAGUGAAAUAGAACCUGAAACCCUGCACUUACAAGCUGUGGAAGCACAUUUCUUGUGUGACCGCGUACUUUUUGUAGAACGGGCCAACGAGUUACGUUAAGUAGCAAGGUUAAGCACUUAAGGUGCGGAGCCGUAGCGAAAGCGAGUUUUAACUGAGCGUUCAGUUACUUGACGUAGACCCGAAACCGGGCGACCUACCCAUGAGCAGGAUGAAGCGAAAGUAAAAUUGCGUGGAGGUCCGAACCCACGAGCGUUGAAAAGCUCGGGGAUGACUUGUGGGUAGCGGUGAAAUUCCAAGCGAGCCCGGAGAUAGCUGGUUCUCCCCGAAAUAGCUUUAGGGCUAGCCUCAAGGUGAGAGAUACGGAGGUAGAGCACUGAAUGUCCUAGGGGGUAUUGCACCUACCGAAGACUAUCAAACUCCGAAU
rnacentral:rRNA from 1 species